UACGUAGGGGGCAAGCGUUGUCCGGAUUUAUUGGGCGUAAAGAGCGUGUAGGCGGUUAGGUAGGUCCGUUGUGAAAACUCGAGGCUCAACCUCGAGACGCCGAUGGAAACCAUCUAACUAGAGUCCGGAAGAGGAGAGUGGAAUUCCUGGUGUAGCGGUGAAAUGCGCAGAUAUCAGGAAGAGCACCCGUGGCUAAGGCGGCUCUCUAGUACGGUACUGACGCUGAGACGCGAAAGCGUGGGGAGCGAACAGG
rnacentral:rRNA from 1 species